rnacentral:lncRNA from 10 species
CCGCGACCUCCGCCUCCCGGGUACAAGCGAUUCUCCUGCCUCAGCCUCCUGAGUAGCUGGGAUUACAGAAAUGCACCACCACGCCCAAAGAAUUUUGUAUUUUUAGCAGAGACAGGGUUUCUCCAGGUUGCUCAGGCUGUCUCCAAUUCCCGACCUCAGGUGAUCCGCCCACCUCGGCCUCCCAAAGUGCUGGGAUUUUUAUACAUUGGCAUGAUCCCCAGAUCCAUGGGUGAGCAGCAGUGGAUGUGCAGUGAAAUUCACAGCAGGCAGAUGGGAACGUGGAGAAAUUCUACAAACCUUUGGGAGCCAGACAGCUCCAACCUCAAGAAG